GGAAGUGUAUCUACCGUGCGUCUGGAUCCUUCACAGUCAAGGGUCGAUUAGGUUAAAUUUUGCCGAAACAACUCCUCCUCCUCCUGCGCGAGGAUGGCAGCAGCGUCUAUGGCCGUCUGCACCAACCCUAAAUCCAGACCGAGACGGCCAAACCCCUUCUCUCCCCUCCUAAAACCCCGCAUUUCCCUUUGUACCUCUACCCUUUUCUCCAAUCCCCGGUUCUCUCCCCAUCCCCCUCCUACCCGCCUCUGGGUCACCGGGAAGAUCCUCCGCUUCCGGCGGUGGGGGAGGAGAGAAAGGGAGCCGAGAAGGAGCGCGGCCGCCAGGAGAACAAGCGGAAGGUCUACAUUGUGGACUUACCCUGGAUCUUCUUGGCUCUCGAUCUGGAGAAUCUCGCUGGCCCGUGCGGCACCCCAAAAAUGUGGAGCUUCUUGGCUGGUUAUAAAUCAAGAAUGGGAAUAGCAGAGGCUUCGCCUUCCUCUCUUUGGCUUCGGAGGAGCUUGAUUCUGAUGAACUGGUGGGAAGGAUAACUAGGGUUGAAUUUGCAAAGAGAUUCAGAAGCCACGAUGUCCUCUUCCAGCUGGUGCCACUGCUGUAGAUGCACGAUAGAAAAAAGUUGUCUAGGUACAUUGGUGAGGUCUACAUUUUUGGGUGAGGUCUGCCUGUAUCAAAGAAUUUUCCUCUGCAAAAGUUCAAGCCACUAUCUGCAUGGGUGGUUUUUGGAAACCCAUCAGGGAGAUCUGCUGGAUGGGGCUUUGUUGCUUUUGCCACAAAGGAGGAAGCAGAUGCUGCUAUUUCUGAACUGGAUGGAAAGUACAUGCUAUAGGAAUUGAUGAGAGGACCUGUUUUUCAUACUACAUCAAAAGAACGAUGAUGAAUUUGGAAGUGAGCCAGCAGAGUCGGGCAAUACUGAAGGACAAUCCAACAGCUCAGACAAAGUGCACAAUCGCCAGUUUUUUCUGCUCAUUUCCACCAAAAUAUCACCUGCAAACAUUUAUGGACAUGUCAUGUACCGCAUUCAUGUUGGCACACAAAAAAAUCUUGGAGGGAACUUUUCCCUAAUCUUAUCUAUUAUAUCAUACAUAUAAAAUCUCUUUCCUCAGUUUUUUUCCUCACA